rnacentral:tRNA from 1 species
GGAGAGGUCGCAUAGUCUGGCCGAGUGCGCGCGCUUGGAGAGCGCGUAUACCUUUGGGUAUCGUGGGUUCGAAUCCCACCCUCUCCGCCA